GCUGCUGUGGUGUAGUGGUCAACACACACAGGUUCAAGCCCUGUGAGGACGAUGGUUCGAAACCAUCCAGCGGCA